GUGCCAGCAGCCGCGGUAAGACGUAGGUGGCGAGCGUUGUUCGGAAUCACUGGGCAUAAAGCGCACGUAGGCGGCCAAGUCAGUCGGGUGUGAAAGCCCUCGGCUCAACCGAGGAACUGCGCCCGAUACUGCUUGGCUUGAGGUCCGGAGGGGAGAGUGGAAUUCCCGGUGGAGCGGUGAAAUGCGUAGAGAUCGGGAAGAACGCCGGCGGCGAAAGCGACUCUCUGGUCGGAAUCUGACGCUGAGGUGCGAAAGCUAGGGGAGCAAACGGGAUUAGAAACCCGCGUAGUCC
rnacentral:rRNA from 1 species